AGGACGAACGCUGGCGGCGUGCUUAACACAUGCAAGUCGAGCGGAAAGGCCCUUCGGGGUACUCGAGCGGCGAACGGGUGAGUAACACGUGAGUAAUCUGCCCCUAGCUCUGGGAUAGCUCCGGGAAACCGGGAUUAAUACCGGAUACGACCACCUUAGACAUCUUUUGUGGUGGAAAGAAUUUCGGCUAGGGAUGAGCUCGCGGCCUAUCAGCUUGUUGGUGGGGUAACGCCUACCAAGGCGACGACGGGUAGCCGGCCUGAGAGGGCGACCGGCCACACUGGGACUGAGACACGGCCCAGACUCCUACGGGAGGCAGCAGUGGGGAUAUUGCGCAAUGGGCGAAAGCCUGACGCAGCGACGCCGCGUGGGGGAUGAAGGCCUUCGGGUUGUAAACCCCUUUCAGCAGGGACGAAGCGAAAGUGACGGUACCUGCAGAAGAAGCGCCGGCUAACUACGCGCCAGCAGCCGC
rnacentral:rRNA from 1 species